GCUGUGGUGGCCGAGUGGUUAAGGCGUUGGACUUGAAAUCCAAUGGGGUCUCAGGUUCGAACCCUGCUCACAGCG